CCUACGGGAGGCUGCAGUGGGGAAUAUUGGACAAUGGGGGGAACCCUGAUCCAGCCAUGCCGCGUGUGUGAAGAAGGCCCUCGGGUUGUAAAGCACUUUCAGUGAGGAAGAACGCCUGGUGGUUAAUACCCAUCAGGAAAGACAUCACUCACAGAAGAAGCACCGGCUAACUCCGUGCCAGCAGCCGCGGUAAUACGGAGGGUGCGAGCGUUAAUCGGAAUUACUGGGCGUAAAGCGCGCGUAGGUGGCUUGAUAAGCCGGUUGUGAAAGCCCCGGGCUCAACCUGGGAACGGCAUCCGGAACUGGCAAGCUAGAGUAUAGGAGAGGAAGGUAGAAUUCCCGGUGUAGCGGUGAAAUGCGUAGAGAUCGGGAGGAAUACCAGUGGCGAAGGCGGCCUUCUGGACUGACACUGACACUGAGGUGCGAAAGCGUGGGGAGCAAACAGGAUUAGAUACCCUUGUAGUC
rnacentral:rRNA from 1 species